GAAAAGACGAAUGUCACUUACGGCUGAAAGGGAAAUAACGCGUCACUGGUUGGAAAUUCGUCUCCAGGAUGUAGCGCUGCAAAUUGUGGUACUUUCUUCAUCUACAUCUGUCUGUAUGCUGCCAUCACUGACCCCCAGCGAUUAGAUAAGCCAUACAAAGAGUCUGUGUCAAACUCAUCGUGCGACGACUGUCCGGGCCACUGCAAUGCAAGCACCCACCUCUGUGACUACGGUGGAUUGAUAUGCCUCAGCGGGUCUAAGUUGAACAUGACUACAUACACAUGUGAUUGCGUGUCAACCGUGUUGCCUGGAACAUACAGUGGCAGUGAAUGCUCGUGUACGUACACACUGCAGCUUACAGAGUUUUAAAAGGACUUUUGUGGACUGACUGACAGUAAACUGCGUUGGAACCAAUGACAUCGAUUCAGAAUGUUCAAGGUCACUACGUGGCACGUGCGACACGAACAUGCACACGAUGUUCCGUUGCCUUUGGAUGUGUAACGCCUGUCCGU